rnacentral:rRNA from 1 species
CAGCAGCCGCGGGAAUACGAAGGGGGCUAGCGUUGCUCGGAAUGACUGGGCGUAAAGGGCGCGUAGGCGGUCACGAUAGUCAGAUGUGAAAUUCCUGGGCUUAACCUGGGGACUGCAUUUGAUACUGUGUGGCUUGAGUGUGGAAGAGGGUCGUGGAAUUCCCAGUGUAGAGGUGAAAUUCGUAGAUAUUGGGAAGAACACCGGUGGCGAAGGCGGCGACCUGGUCCAUAACUGACGCUGAGGCGCGAAAGCGUGGGGAGCAAACAGGAUUAGAUACCCGGGUAGUCCCUGUCUCUUAUAC